GCUACAAGGGAUAACUCAGUGGGUCGGGUAUGAGACGCUUAAUCUCACGGUCGUGGGUUCAAGCCCUACAUGGAGCA